rnacentral:rRNA from 1 species
UACGUAGGGUGCAAGCGUUAUUCGGAAUUAUUGGGCGUAAAGAGCUCGUAGGCGGUUUGUCGCGUCUGCUGUGAAAACUGGGGGCUCAACCCCCAGCCUGCAGUGGGUACGGGCAGACUAGAGUGCGGUAGGGGAGAUUGGAAUUCCUGGUGUAGCGGUGGAAUGCGCAGAUAUCAGGAGGAACACCGAUGGCGAAGGCAGAUCUCUGGGCCGUAACUGACGCUGAGGAGCGAAAGCAUGGGGAGCGAACAGG